UGUAAUCAAACCAUCCUUCACCCAAUUUACGCAGAAUCCAUACUUGAGGUAAGCCCCCUACAUGGGAAAAUCUACCUAUUUCUGGUAAAACCCACUCCCAUGGUGUAACGGGUGGUCCCUUUG
rnacentral:rRNA from 1 species